AUUGAACGCUGGCGGCAGGCCUAACACAUGCAAGUCGAACGGUAACAGGAAACAGCUUGCUGUUUCGCUGACGAGUGGCGGCCGGGUGAGUAAUGUCUGGGAAACUGCCUGAUGGAGGGGGAUAACUACUGGAAACGGUAGCUAAUACCGCAUAACGUCGCAAGACCAAAGAGGGGGACCCUCGGGCCUCUUGCCAUCGGAUGUGCCCAGAUGGGAUUAGCUUGUUGGUGGGGUAACGGCUCACCAAGGCGACGAUCCCUAGCUGGUCUGAGAGGAUGACCAGCCACACUGGAACUGAGACACGGUCCAGACUCCUACGGGAGGCAGCAGUGGGGAAUAUUGCACAAUGGGUGCAAGCCUGAUGCAGCCAUGCCGCGUGUAUGAAGAAGGCCUUCGGGUUGUAAAGUACUUUCAGCGGGGAGGAAGGGAGUAAAGUUAAUACCUUUGCUCAUUGACGUUACCCGCAGAAGAAGCACCGGCUAACUCCGUG
rnacentral:rRNA from 1 species